UUGGAUCAAUCAAAUAAAUACAGGAUAUUUUCCUAGAGCACAACCAAGUAUUUUCUGAUUACAUAAAACUGUAGCUUGAAAGGAGAUGUAACCACUGAAACAUUUCAUAUUUGUAGGAUACUGCAUGGAACCUUUCUUUGAUCUCUGCUUGGCAUUGCUGUCCCUUCCCUUCUCUCUUUCCCCUAGCCCCCCCUUCUUUUUUAGCUUUUUGUAAGGCAGUAAGAACGUGUAAAAUUGAAGUGCUUUGGGAUGCUGAAAGAUAGGAUUUACGACAUGCUCCUUAAUGAAUAAGCCUUUCAUUUCUCUGGGAUAAGAGGAGGACUCUUAUAAUGUCCUGCCGGUCUUGCUUGUACUCAGAUUCAGUUUCCUCCGGUUGGUCAAGGUCUGCUGCAUUUUCUUUUGUCUGAUGGAAGGAUUUUCUAUUUCAUCAAAGAAAGAUGGUGUAAUCUGCCAAGAUAGUGUAGCUCAUGUGGAGGGAGCAAGCAGUGCAUACAGACCUGAAUUGGGAGCUAAAUUCUAGGUGUGCU